rnacentral:rRNA from 1 species
AGCUAAUAGAUACCCGGGUAGUCCACGCCGUAAACGAUGAUGACUAGCUGUCCGGGCACAUGGUGCUUGGGUGGCGCAGCUAACGCAUUAAGUCAUCCGCCUGGGGAGUACGGUCGCAAGAUUAAAACUCAAAGGAAUUGACGGGGGCCUGCACAAGCGGUGGAGCAUGUGGUUUAAUUCGAAGCAACGCGCAGAACCUUACCAGCGUUUGACAUGCCUAGUAUGGUUUCCAGAGAUGGAUUCCUUCAGUUCGGCUGGCUAGGACACAGGUGCUGCAUGGCUGUCGUCAGCUCGUGUCGU